CAUGUGAAGGAAACGUGGACAAUUUGCACAAAGGAACGACUCUCAGACAGGUGUGGUCAUCGUUCACUUACAGCAGGGGUGGGGAACCCUGGUCCUGGAGGGCCGCAAACCUGCAUGUUUUCCAUGUCUCCCUGCUUCAACACACCUGAAUCGUAUCAAGAUUCAUGGCCAAGUCCAGCAGAAAGCCAGAUAACGAGCCUCAUUGCAAUCAGCUGUGUUGAAGCAGAGAGACAUGGAAAACAUGCAGGUUUGCGGCCCUCCAGGACCAGGGUUCCCCACCCCUGACUUAAAAGAAUGCACUCGUUCACUGAACGUCACAGCACUUCAAGCCAGACCAUUUCUCUUUUUUUCACGGUAAAUGUGAAAUUAUUGCGGGAAUUAUGCGUCCUUUUGGAAAAUAUGUGGCCCCUGCAUAAUCAGCGACAAAAGGGUGAUUUAUGCGUGAAUUCAUGCGAUCGCAUAAUCGCAUUUUUCUGGAGGGUCUAGUUUGUCCCCAAAAAGCACAAGAAAGUCCACCAGCAGCUUUAAAAGCUCCUGUAGGUAAAAUCCUCCUUGAUCAACAGGCUCGUUAACAGGGCUCUGGAAUCAGCUCCCAAAUGCAAACACAACGCAGAAGCAGCGAAAGCAGAAGAAACAAGGAGGGAGAAGAGAAGAGGAGCUAUAAAGUCUACUCUGUGAGAGAAGGACACAUUUUAAAAGCUAACGGCUACAUUAGCAUGAAAAGCACAUACCUUCUCCUCGGAGUCUGGGGUAGUGACCGGGUGGGGACGAAAACCCGCGAAACGAGCAUCAACCAAUCAGCGUCAAGACAGUGUCCCGCGCUCAACUGUCCAAUCAGGAGUCCAAACACACGUCACGCCACCAGCAGCUCGAGACACCUGCAGCUGCGAGAGAGAGAGAGCGCGCGCGCUAGCUGUGGUCACUCACGUGCUGUUUGCAGCUCUGUCUGGCUGUGAAGCUCUGACAUGUUUUCAGUCAGUUCACAGCUUCUGCCGCGGUGUGUGGACACGGAGAGGACAUCAGUUCGCCUCAGUCAAUGGAAGAAGACAUGUCCCUCCAGCCUGCAGAGCAGCUCGGUCCCCAGGGCGAUCACAGGAAGGGACCCACAGUCUGGAUCGUUGCACAGCUACGUCAGGAGAGGAGGAGAGCGGGCCUGGACGCCAGUGGUUUGUCUUGGGGGGGGGGGGGGGCUGUGAUGGAGGAGCCUCCUCCCCUUCUUCCAGCGGAGCCUCGGAGGAGGAGCAGGGCCAGUGUGGAGGGAACGGCCUGGGGUCAGUGGCGAGCGUGGUGCUGGUCAGCUUGAUGCAGGAGGACUUGGCAGAGCUCCACCGGCAGUACCCCAGGAUGAAGACCAUCUUCUCCACCCUCAGCCAGCGCUGCCGCUGGAGGCCUGCUCCCUGACAGGACAUGAACAAAGCUUUAUCAACGGCGUGACGGCCGCCUCUGCUCCAUCUGUUGGGGGAGCGGUUGUUCAUCAAUGUGAGAUUCAUCACUAAACUCCAGGGCUGUUUUUGCCUGAUGAAGUUCAUUUAGCCCAUUUGGGAAAUGACACAUUUUUCCAACAAUGUUGCCCAGUGUGUGAAAGAGCACAUCCAGCAGGGGGCGCCGGAUCUGGUUUUCACACCAAGGCUUUGGGAGAAACGAGGUCAGGAGUUUUGUUCCUUAUCUGAUGACUGAUGUUCUCUGUUUAUGUUACUAUUUAACUUUUUGAUGUAAUGUGAGUCACCACUGCAGCGCCGCUCUGUGGGAACUGCCACUGCUCUUCCUCCCUGUCCCCCCCGUCUUUCCGUCCCUCCUGUCCAGCAGAGUGGUGUGAGGCUGUGAGGCUGCGUUCAUCUGACUGCUGCUGUUAUUUACGUCAAUGUUUGUGAUGAAGAUGUUUUUUUGGUGAAAAUAAAUGUGUUUCAACUGUG